rnacentral:rRNA from 1 species
GUGAACGCUGGCGGCGUGCUUAACACAUGCAAGUCGAACGAGAACAGGUAGUAGUAAUACUAUGCUGCUAAGUGGCGCACGGGUGAGUAAUAUAUAGUUAAUGUGCCUCGAAGACUGGGAUAGCCACUGGAAACGGUGAUUAAUACUAGAUACACCUUUUUAACAUAAGUUAAAUCGGGAAAUGUCUUUUCGCUUCGAGAUCAGACUAUAUCCUAUCAGUUAGUUGGUGAGGUAAUGGCUCACCAAGGCAAUGACGGGUAGCGGUUCUGAGAGGAUGAUCCGCCACACUGGUACUGAGACACGGACCAGACUCCUACGGGAGGCAGCAGUGAGGAAUAUUGCACAAUGGGGGGAACCCUGAUGCAGCAACGCCGCGUGGAGGAUGACGCAUUUCGGUGUGUAAACUCCUUUUAUAUGUCAAGAAAAUGACGGUAGCAUAUGAAUAAGCAUCGGCUAACUCCGU